UUUCAGACUCAUCUCUUUUAUAUUCACUCUGGGAUGUGAUAAAACAGUUGCGGAGGGGUGUCUCCCUAAUGAGGGCGUCCAGAGGAAGGGUGGGUCCUUUGCCUUGUUUGAGCAAGGGACUGCUAACCCGACGAGGAUGCCCAUGAAUCCUGGAAACCGGUUAUAGAUGAAAUUUUGUUGAGGAACGAAAUCCCUGGGAGAGCUAGGGUUGUCGAGUUUGUAACCCAUUCCGAAGAUGCGAUCGCUUCCUGUCUGACAGGAGGAUCGUCUGGACUUGAAGUGAAAACGGCACAGACUCCUACAUAGGUAACAGUGUUGAAUUUCUUUCAGUGAGGCAAACCUUGAAGACACCUCGGGGCACGUAAGAGCAAUGAUUGCUGAUCUUUUUUCGUUUGCUUGCAAUAAAAAUCCGACAGAAGGGGGGGGUGGCUCUGGCUGAUCGACAGUCAUGAGGAUCGAUAUGACAUCCGGGUCAAACAUGGCAAAGAUUAUUAAGAGGUUAUGAGCUGGAUGGAGAUCUUCGAGUAGUAGCGUGGUAAGUGGUCGAUUCCUUCGCAUUUAAUUGUAGUAGUGUAUUUCUUUAACUCUCCGCAUGACCAGU
rnacentral:rRNA from 1 species